rnacentral:rRNA from 1 species
AGUCGAGCGAACAGACGAGGAGCUUGCUCCUCUGACGUUAGCGGCGGACGGGUGAGUAACACGUGGAUAACCUACCUAUAAGACUGGGAUAACUUCGGGAAACCGGAGCUAAUACCGGAUAAUAUAUUGAACCGCAUGGUUCAAUAGUGAAAGACGGUUUUGCUGUCACUUAUAGAUGGAUCCGCGCCGCAUUAGCUAGUUGGUAAGGUAACGGCUUACCAAGGCAACGAUGCGUAGCCGACCUGAGAGGGUGAUCGGCCACACUGGAACUGAGACACGGUCCAGACUCCUACGGGAGGCAGCAGUAGGGAAUCUUCCGCAAUGGGCGAAAGCCUGACGGAGCAACGCCGCGUGAGUGAUGAAGGUCUUCGGAUCGUAAAACUCUGUUAUUAGGGAAGAAUAAAUGUGUAAGUAACUAUGCACGUCUUGACGGUACCUAAUCAGAAAGCCACGGCUAACUACGUGCCAGCAGCCGCGGUAAUACGUAGGUGGCAAGCGUUAUCCGGAAUUAUUGGGCGUAAAGCGCGCGUAGGCGGUUUUUUAAGUCUGAUGUGAAAGCCCACGGCUCAACCGUGGAGGGUCAUUGGAAACUGGAAAACUUGAGUGCAGAAGAGGAAAGUGGAAUUCCAUGUGUAGCGGUGAAAUGCGCAGAGAUAUGGAGGAACACCAGUGGCGAAGGCGACUUUCUGGUCUGUA